CUCUUCUGUGCGUCUAUCAGCAGCGCUGUUUCCUGAGCACUUACUGCACGCCAGACGCAGGCACACCUGUCAAUUCACUCAGCUGCGACGGCUACAUGAGCUGGAGCACAGGGGCAGGAAGGGAGCCGUCCAAGAUACAACAUGAAAGAUCGGCUGAUGCUGGCACUGGAUGCCCUGUGGCAGGAAGGAGAUCCCACGAGAUUUAGCACAAGAGCAACUCCCCCAAGAGCCCAAGACUGGGCUGAGAGGACCCAGAAGCCUCCAGGGAAGCCAGGAGGUGGGACUCCUAAACGGUGGUGUGCUGGGGACACCGAACCCCUGAAGGUGGGGACUGGGUCUGAUUUGCCUCCGGGACUAAUCCUGGCCAGGUCCCCGGCCUUGGCCGUGACAUCGACCCAUGCAGUGUCCCGGCCAAGUGGCUGCUCCUCCCGGAGCCUCCGUUUCCUCACCUGUGACCUGGAUGAUCUCUGAGGUUGCGUCCAGCCCCAAAUGCUUGACGUGAACCAGCGAAGUGACCGCUCGUGGAUCACCCGCACGGUGCUGGCAGUGUGCAGUCACCUGUAACCUCAGUGCUGGGCUGGGGCCUUCGGUCCAUGGCAAGAAGAGGUAAAAUCUGUUGACAUGGUGAUGGAUGGGAUGGGGGGGCAAGGGGGCCAGAGGGAGAAGGAAGCCCCUAGUCCUGCCCUCAGGGAGCCACAGUCCAGGAGGAGUGACAUAUCAGUAAAGAGCCAGCAUGUUGCAAGACAGGCAGCCUGGGAGCUCAUCACCAGGCUGGGAGGUGGGGGAAGGAGGGCUUCCUGGAGGAGGUGACUGUGCAUGGAGCCUCAAAAGAUGAGUGAAAGUUCACCAGGCAAAGAAAUUGAGAGAGAAGGUGGGGACGGAGCUGGUGUCGGGGGUGAGGCUGGGAAGACGGCGAGCGGUAUGUGUUGGUGUGGGGAGGCCCCACUAGGCCUGUGUGCUGGAGCAGAGCGGGAGCAGGGAAGGUGGGAGAGCUGGGCAGAGGGAAAGAGCCGUGCGGGAUGCAGAGGGCAGGGAAGAAGGGCUCCUGAAGACUGCACUGGAUCCUGAGGGCAGUGGGGUGGUCACUGAAGGAUUUUAAAGGGGUCGGAUUUGUGUUCUAGAAAGAUCUUAUGGGCUGAAUCUAUGCCAGUCUGGUUUAUGACUGUUUUCCCAGCACCCAGCUCAGUAACGGGCACACAGUAGGGGCUCGAUAAAUGUUUUCAAUCAAUACAUGAAUGCCAACAGUGUACCACUAGGCUGUGGUUGACUCCAGCACUGGGACCUUGGGCCCUCAGUUUCCUUGCUUGUAAAACGAGGGUAACAACACCUGCCUCUUGGGAGGUGAAAGGAAGUAGCACGUGCAAGGCCUCCCUCGGUGUCCUGCACGUGGUCAGCCCGCCACGACCCGAGCAGCAUGUGCUGUGGGCAAGACAGAGGCAGGGACCCGGGUCAGGAGCGGUGGAGUCACCCAGGUGAGAGAAUAAUAUUAACAACAACAAUAAUGUUUAUUAAGGGCUUAAGUUCUGGGACUCCCUUAGUGGUCCAGUGGUUAAGAUUCUGUGCUUCCAUUGCAGGGGGCGUGGGUUCGAUCCCUGGUCGAUGAACUAAGAUCCUACAUGCUGUGUGGUGUGGCCACAAAAAAAAAAAAAAAAAAGGCUUAAGUUCUUUACAUAUUUUAUUCAUAUAAUCUUCAAGACAAGUGAAUGGAGAAGGCAGUAUUUUAUAGGUCAUCCCAAUUUUAUCGUCCAGGAAACUGAGGAUCAGACAGGUGAGGUGACUGGCCCGAGGCCCUGAGGCCAGUGAGUGGUGGACAGAACUGCACUGGACACCAGAGCCCAGCUUGUGACCACUAAGCUGGUGAUGGAGACAGGUCAGGGCAGCCACCAGGGCAGGGAGAGGUGGGGGGACAGAGUCAGACUGAUGGACCAGAUGGUGGGGGCAUGCCUGGGAGAGGGAGUUAUCAAGGAUGCCCCUAGGUUCUGGCCUGGAUGACCAGGUGGAAGGUCAUUCCAUUUCCUGAGUGAGGGACACAGCAGGAUAGGCAGGCUUGGGGAGGAAGGACACGCUGAGUCUGAGGGGCUGUUAGGGUGUCUGGGUGGGGAUGCCCGGGAGGUCUGGCGUCUAGGCGGGGUGGUCUGGAUGAGGGCGAAAUGAGCUCAUAGGGCAAGUGGAAGGCAUGUGGGUGGGUGGAGGAGCCCCAGCCCUGGAGGUGAUGUCGACAGCAGACGUUACACAGUGUUGACUCUGGGCCAGACAUGAUCCUAAGCCCUGGUAUUAUUUCAAUUCUCCCAACAAACCCUGUGAGGGAAUGCCAUUACCAUCCCCAUUUUAUAGACGGGGAAAGUCAGGCAAGAGACAUUCUGUUUGGAAUGUCAGAAUAGGUACAUCUGUAGAGACAGAGAGUAGAGUGGUGGUUCCCUAGGGCUGGGGAGUUAAGGGAGUUAAGGGAUGAUGUCUAAAGGGUACAGGGUUUAUUUUGGGGGGUGAUGAAAAUGUCCUAAAAUGAUUGUGGUCAUGGCUGUACAACUCUAUAAAUAGACUAAGAAACAUUGAAUUGUGCACUUCAGACGCGUGAAUUACAUGUCAAUAAAGCCAGGGGAGAGACAGAGGCGCCCAGCCAGUAGACGGAAGCAGGGCUUGGAGGGGCAGGGGAGCCUCGGGAGCGGGAAGGAGGGUGGUUUGGGUGAGAAGCUGGGGGAGGAUGCUGUCUGCAGCAUUAGCUGCUCCCGACUGGUCCAGGGUGUGAGACCUGGACGUUCCUUGGAGUUUGUCAGUCCAGGUUCCCUGGUGACCUGGUCCACACUGGUUGGGGACCCGGCCCUGUGGGUGGACGGGCCCUUCUGGCAGUGGAGAUCGCAAGAGGAGUGCGUCAUCCUUUGGGACCUGGAUGGAGAUCUCUCCACCUCAGGAAGCAGUAAACCCCCAACCAGGAAGCUUUGGAGGCUUGCCGCCCCUGACUUUGGGUGGAGGCUGGGGAGGAAUGAGGGUAGGAAAAUGCCUCAGUUGCUCUUCCUGAAAGAGCGAGACCCCCAGUCAACAGCUCACCCAGAAGUUUCGCACCCCAGCUUCUCCCACAAGAGGGCCCCGGAGUCUGCUGGGGGUCCAGGAGGACGGGAGGGUGUGAAGGGAAGGCUGGGGUAUGGCGGUCCCCCUUCCUCCCGGCACUGAUGCUGGUCACUGCCAGGAGCACAUCCAGGCCUCCCGACUGAGAAUGGCUGCGACCGACCCAUGGUCCCAGCCAAGGAUGGGGCUGUGCGGAGAGGCUCGAGGGGCCCCCGGGCGUGAGCCAAAGAGCAGGAGAUGAGGCAGCUCUGGGCAGCUCCCCAGGCCUCUGUGGCCACAGCCGCCGCGCCCCUUUUGUUCAGGGUCCAUUUAGCCCCCUGCACCCCCACCCCAUGCCUCAGGACUUGUCUCCGUGAUGCAGGAGGCUGGCAGGGAGACUGGGCUGGGCCUGCACUCAGGACCUCCAUGGGGCCAGGAUCCCGUGAGGGGGGCGGAGCAUGCGUGAUUCUCUCAGGAGGCUGAGGCUCAGAGGGUCUUGCUGGAGUCCCUACACCCCCAUCAGGCACUUCUCCCUGGGGAGCCCCGCACGGCCCCACUCAGAGCCCAUUUCUUCUCCUUUAUUUCUAUUUUU